GGACCAUCUUAAAAAGCUAUGGAAUUCCUGAAAAAAUAAUACAACUCAUCAAAGCCUUCUACGACAACUUUAAAUGCACUGUAGACUCUGACCAAGACACUAGUUUUUUGGUAAAAUCUGGAGUGAGACAAGGAUGUGUGAUGUCAUCUCUCUUGUUUAUCAUUGCAGUCGACUGGGUGAUGAAAUCAACAAUGUCAAAUACCAACAACGGAAUAAGGUGGACACUCACUUCAAACCUAGAGGAUAUAGACUAUGCAGAUGAUCUAGCAUUAGUAUCCCAUACUGAAAAUCAAAUGAAAGAAAAAACGGAGAGAUUAGAACAGAAUGCCAGAAUGAUUGGUCUGAAAAUCAACUCUAAGAAAACACAAAUAAUGACAGUAAACAUGCUUAAUACACCAGACAUCAAAGUAAAUGGAGAACAACUGGAAUUGGUACAGUCCUUCACUUACCUAGGUAGUGUUGUAACAUCAGAAGGUGGAGCUGAACAGGACAUCAAAACUAGAAUUGGCAAGGCAAGAUCAGCCUUUCACAGACUAAGAAACAUCUGGAAAACACCAUCAAUCAGAAAAAAGACCAAACUGAAAAUCUAUAACAGCUGUGUAACAUCAGUUUUACUUUACGGAGCUGAAUGCUGGAGAAUGACCGAAAAAGACAUUAACAGGUUAUCCAGCUUUCAUAACACCUGCCUACGUAGAAUCAUGAAGAUAUACUGGCCAAACAAAAUAACAAAUGAAGAUCUUCAUAAGAAAACAAAAAGCCAAGAUAUUGAAACCACUCUGCUACAGAAAAGAUGGAGAUGGCUUGGUCAUGUCCUAAGAAAACCACAAGGAGACAUGACCAAAGUUGCAUUAAGAUGGACACCAGAGGGAAAAAGGAAAAGAGGACGACCAAAAACAACAUGGCGUAGAACAAUAGAAACAGAGAUGAAAGAGAGAGGUUACACCUGGGGAACUAUUGAGAAAAAAGCAGAAAACAGAGAGGAGUGGCGGCAACUUGUCCUUGCCCUAUGUGCCAAAAGGCAUAACAAGGACUAAGUAAGUAAGUAAGCUGUGACAUAUA
rnacentral:lncRNA from 1 species